rnacentral:rRNA from 1 species
GACGAACGCUGGCGGCACGCUUAACACAUGCAAGUCGAACGAGAACCUCGGAGCUUGCUCCGGGGGGAAAGUGGCGAACGGGUGAGUAACACGUGAGGAACCUGCCCCGAAGACCGGGAUAACACCGGGAAACCGGUGCUAAUACCGGACGUCCUCACUGGAUCGCAUGGUCCGGUGAGGAAAUGGAUUCCGCUUCGGGAUGGCCUCGCGGCCUAUCAGCUUGUUGGUGGGGUAACGGCCUACCAAGGCUUCGACGGGUAGCUGGUCUGAGAGGAUGUCCAGCCACACUGGGACUGAGACACGGCCCAGACUCCUACGGGAGGCAGCAGUGGGGAAUCUUGCGCAAUGGGCGAAAGCCUGACGCAGCGAUGCCGCGUGCGGGAUGAAGGCCUUCGGGUUGUAAACCGCUUUCAGCAGGGACGAAAUUGACGGUACCUGCAGAAGAAGCCCCGGCCAACUACGUGCCAGCCGCCGCGGUAAUAC